rnacentral:rRNA from 1 species
AUUGAACGCUGGCGGCAGGCCUAACACAUGCAAGUCGAACGAGUGGCGGACGGGUGAGUAAUGUCUGGGAAACUGCCCGAUGGAGGGGGAUAACUACUGGAAACGGUAGCUAAUACCGCAUACCAUCGGAUGUGCCCAGAUGGGAUUAGCUAGUAGGUGGGGGAAAGGCUCACCUAGGCGACGAUCCCUAGCUGGUCGGAGAGGAUGACCAGCCAGACUGGAACUGAGACACGGUCCAGACUCCUACGGGAGGCAGCAGUGGGGAAUAUUGCACAAUGGGCGCAAGCCUGAUGCAGCCAUGCCGCGUGUAUGAAGAAGGCCGUCGGGUUGUAAAGUACUGUCAGCGAGGAGGCGUUACUCGCAGAAGAAGCACCGGCUAACUCCGUGCCAGCAGCCGCGGUAAUUC